UGUCAAAUCACGGAUACCAGUCCUAGUCCCUAAAAAGGCGACCAUAUGUACUUUUUUCCAUUUUUUUUUACACUGGGCACUUUCACUAUGUGCAGGUAACCAACAUCUUAAGUAUGGUUCUGCACAUUAGCACUAUGUAACUUUCUAACCUCUUUUCCAGCCCUAAAAAUUCUUUAUCUAUUAAGUAACCUUUGCAGGAGAUACAUUAUUACUAGAGAUUGUUUCUUUCCUUUUAUUACUACAAAAGUUCUCUCACUGGUUACUUUGUACUAACAAUAUUUUGAUACAUUCUCUUAUAGAGCUCUUUUUCUACAUGGCAUUUAUCUUAGAACAGUGUUACCAUAGAGUUACUUAAUAUUAAUGUGGAUAGAGAGGCAUAUAUAUUCUAUAGAUGCUUUUCUUUACUUAUAGUAGUACACUGCUAUCAUAGAGUUGCCAGGUUAAGUGACUAAUUUUUUAAUACAUAUGGUCGCCUUUUUAGGGACUAGGACUGGUAUCCGUGAUUUG